rnacentral:lncRNA from 1 species
CUGAUAUAUUUAUUUUUGCAUGGAUAACGUGCCUGAUGAUAGAAGACUGUAUUUAUUCUGUCAAUUUGUGAAUAUAAAACACUAUGGACUAGUUACAUAGAUGUUGUUCACUAGAAUAUAUCAGGCAAAGAUUUUGAAUGUAGAUACCAAGCACCGCAGGUAACAGGUGUGCUGGAAACAUGUUAAUUGAUGGCCCUCCUAGUGUAAAUGCAUGGUGAGAGAUCAUGAUUAUUGUACAUUUCCUGUGGUGCUGCAGAGGAAAUAUAGGUUUAAGUGCAACUGCAAAGAUUCUGACAUAGUGAAAUGCUUGAAGAAAAAGUAAGCUUUUUGGUACACUUAUCAAAAGAAAAGUAAGCUUUUUUGUGUACCUAAAGAACAAAGCACUAUUUAUGUGAAAGCAAAAGCUGAUUGCCGUUGGUCAUAUUGGUCAAAGUUCUAUUGAGGAAUUUGUCAGUUAACUGGAGUUUUUAACAUCAGAGCUUAGCUACUCUAUCCAUAAACUCAUGAUCAUGCAUGAGAAACCGUGAGGGCGUAGCUGCUGCCAAACUCCGAAGAUGAUGUGACAAGAGACCAAAUUUCAUCAACAACACCCUGAGAGGAGCCGGUCGGCCAAAGGGAACAGCAGGGGAAACCCCUACCACUUAACGCAGAAAAUGCUUAUAACAGCUCCGCUCCACCUCUACAUUUGCCACAUCUGCUGCAAAAUACUUCAUCAGGCUGAAAGGCGAGGUGUGACUAAGGGGCAGCACCAACAUGAUCUACAACUGUGAGAGGUUCACAACUCAUUGCUCUAUGGAAGUACAGAAGACAUAUUUUUCAAACAAAACUUAACUGCUUUCUAACAACAAAUACUAGGGUUAUGUGGUUCAGUCACUAUGGUUUUUAAAUACCUAGAAGCUAGGAAAAUAAGUACUCAAAAACAGUACUCAAAAAGAGACGAAUGAAUGAAAUGCUAAGUAGGUUUGGUAAAAUUUGGGAGAAAGGAGAAGCAGAAGAGUCUGGAAGCAGCUCUGCAUCUCUCUGGGGUGGAGCCCCAAGAGACAAAUGAAAGACCAUCUGCCAUAACCACUGCUAAGGUCCCUUCCCCUGCUGCUUCCAAGCUGGGAGGGAACAUAAAACCUGAGUUCACCCCAGAACUGCAGUGUACAGCCUUGGGAGGGCUAACCCAAGAUCUGCAUCCAGCACUCAAGUGGGAGAGGAACAAUUUCAGAGGAUUGAGAGGGAGCAUGGCCGCAAUCAGAGGAGCCAUAUAACUGAGUUAGAGCCUACCUACUGGCCAUUAUGCUUAAGUGUCACCUACUGGAUCAUAGCCCAAAACUUCAACACUAAAAAUACUUUGCUAAUAUAACCCCCCUGUUAAACCAAGGAUAAUAAUUCAGCUACAAAUAAAGACCCAGCACAAAGCCUAGACUUUCUGAAAACAUCCAGAAAAGAAAUCUACUGACGGUACUCAAUUUACACCAUAGUUAA